UAUUAUUCCCAUUGAUGAAAAACAUCUUCUUCCAAAUGUUAGGAAAUUGGACAGUCAUACUUGCGUAUAUUAUGGGAUUGUAACAGAUGGAGGAUUUCGCAAGGAGCGUUGGCAGCACCGCUACUAUAUGAGAGGAUACACUGCAGGACAUGUUAUCUGCCUCCGGACCGUAAGAUCCCCAGUUGAAGAACGGUGGUAACGACAAAGAAAGAGAGUAUAUCCAAACCAAAAACGCCAGUAGACAUGCUCCGUGACCCCAGUACCAUUGACCUGCGAUCGCUGAUAUCAUUGCGAAAGGACUGCCCAGUACAGCAACUAAGAAAUCUCCAACCUGUCAUAAUAAACGUGUAAAACAUUACAAAUACGCUUGCAACUAUUUAUACUAAUGGCACAAAAUAUAAUUAAGCAUUUAGAGCCGCUA